UACAGAGGGGGCAAGCGUUAUUCGGAAUUAUUGGGCGUAAAGGGCGCGUAGGCGGCCCGCUAAGUCGAACGUGAAAUCCCCAGGCUCAACCUGGGAACUGCGUCCGAUACUGGCAGGCUUGAAUCCGGGAGAGGUGAGUGGAACUGCGAGUGUAGAGGUGAAAUUCGUAGAUAUUCGCAAGAACACCAGUGGCGAAGGCGGCUCACUGGCCCAUAACUGACGCUGAGGCACGAAAGCGUGGGGAGCAAACAGG
rnacentral:rRNA from 1 species